GGGAGAGUAGCCUAGCGGCGAAGGCAAGGGACUGUAAAUCCCCCACAAAGAAACAUCGAAGGUUCGAGUCCUUCUUCUCCCACUA
rnacentral:tRNA from 1 species